UGCCUCAGUAACGGCGAGUGAAGCGGCACCAGCUCAAAUUUGAAAUCUGGCCUCUCGGGGUCCGAGUUGUAAUUUGUAGAGGAUGUUUUGGGUACCGCCCCGGUCUAAAUUUCUUGGAACAGAAUGUCAGAGAGGGUGAGAAUCCCGUCUUGGACCGGCGGUAGGGCCUGUGUAAAACUCCUUCGACGAGUCGAGUUGUUUGGGAAUGCAGCUCAAAAUGGGUGGUAAAUUUCAUCUAAAGCUAAAUAUUGGCCAGAGACCGAUAGCGCACAAGUAGAGUGAUCGAAAGAUGAAAAGCACUUUGAAAAGAGAGUUAAACAGUAUGUGAAAUUGUUGAAAGGGAAGCGCUUGCAACCAGACUUGAGCGCGGCGGUUCCCCUGGCCUUUUUGGCCAGGCUACUCCGUCGUGUCCAGGCCAACAUCGGUUCUGAGGGUCGGUCAAAGGCUCUGGGAAUGUAUCUACCCACGGGUAGACUUAUAGACCAGGGUGUCAUGCGGCCUCUCGGGACCGAGGAACGCGCUUCGGCUCGGAUGUUGGCGUAAUGGUUGUCAGCGACCCGUCUUGAAACACGGACCAAGGAGUCUAACAUCUAUGCGAGUGUUUGGGUGUCAAACCCGGAACGCGGAAUGAAAGUGAACGGAGGUAGGAAGCUUCGGCUGCACUAUCGACCGAUCCUGAAGUUUACGGAUGGAUUUGAGUAAGAGCAUAGCUGUUGCGACCCGAAAGAUGGUGAACUAUGCCUGAAUAGGGUGAAGCCAGAGGAAACUCUGGUG
rnacentral:rRNA from 1 species